AGACAUCUCUUACAGAUCUGGCAAUGAUCUUCCUCCUCUCUGAGACUCCUACUCCUCUCCUUGGCCCAGGAUGUCAGGAGCCCGUAAGAGAUGGAAUCCUUGGUGCUGUCACUAAACAACCUGGAGCAAAGCCAAAAGUCACCUACCUCCAGACAUCUUUCUCCUCUGCCCAGUGAAUGUGGAAAACUCAGAAGAAAACUAGGAGGCAUUAGAGCAUGCUACACAGAAAAAUGGAGGAAGCUUGAGUCCUGAGAGAUGGUGUAGGGGCCAGCUGGCCUGGAGAAUGACCUGACCCAAUAUCCUUGCU